GGCAGUUCCUUGUCAGCAGCCAGAGGGGCAGGAGCUAGGAGGCGAGCAAUGCAGGAACCGCUCCAGCUGAGAGAAGGAUGGCAGCUCUGAGAGCUCAAGCCAGCUCAGCCCACUCCUGCUAUGAGGAAGAAAAAAAAUAGCACCUCUGUGGACUGCUAUCUAUGAUAUGGAUAGAUUAUACAAGAGAAGUAAGAAGGCACUUUUUGGGUGCAUGGCAAGGCUAAGGCUUCAUGAAGAAAAAUAAUUUCCCCACUUUGAGCAAUAUAAAAUAACAGUGUUGGACAGAAGAUUGUAAAUAUUAUAUUAAAUGGAUAAUAGGACAUGGAUGGAUGGCUACUACAGCUUAAGAAGUACAUUAUAUUUCAACACGCUUAUUGGUGGUUAAAAUGUUAAUGAACAGCAUUAUAAAGGGAAUUUUGCACUACUCAGGAAAUCUACUUGACAUGAGGAGAAAAAGUUAAUUUCAGCCCAGCCUCAUUAAUCAGAUCUGCCUACAGCUAAGAAAGUGUCACCCAAGUAUGUUUUGCUUUCUGCGGUGUGUUGCUGAUGAAGAUACUGACACAAAACAGAAGUAAUUGGAUUUGUGCUGGUAGGCAGUGGUAAAAAUAAAA